GUCUAUGGCCACGUCACCCUGAACAAGCCUGAUCUCCUCUGAUCUCAGAAGCUAAGCAGGGUUGGGCCUGCUUAGUACUUGGAUGGGAGACCACCUAGGAAGACCAGAUGCUGUAGGCA
rnacentral:rRNA from 1 species